ACGAACGUUGGCGGCGUGGAUUAGGCAUGCAAGUCGAACGAAGCACGGGGGGCAACUCUCGUGACUGAGUGGCGAAAGGGGCAGUAAGGCGUGGGUAACCUACCCUGGGGACUGGGAUAGCCAUUCUAACGGAUGGGUAAUACCGGGCGACGCAGCGAGGGGGCAUCUCUUUGCUGCCAAAUGAAUUUCGCCCUGGGAGGGGCUCACGUGGUAUUAGCUAGUUGGUGAGGUAACGGCUCACCAAGGCUCAGAUGCCUAGCAGGUGUGAGAGCACGACCUGCGCCACUGGCACUGAGACACUGGCCAGACUCCUACGGGAGGCUGCAGUCGAGAAUCUUCGGCAAUGGGCGCAAGCCUGACCGAGCGACGCCGCGUGUGCGAUGAAGGCCUUCGGGUUGUAAAGCACUGUCGAGGGGGAGGAAGCCGCAAGGUUGACCUAUCCCUGGAGGAAGCACGGGCUAAGUUCGU
rnacentral:rRNA from 1 species